AACGCACAUUGCACUCCUUGGUAUUCCGAGGAGUAUGCCUGUUUCAGUAUCAUGAGCACUCUCACAACUAACCUUUGGGUGAAAUUGUGGAAUUGGAAUGCGCUGAUUGUAAUAACCAGCCCUUCUAAAAUAUAUUUCAUGACUGUCACCUAACACAGCAGUUUGGCCUAAUAGUUUUGACAUUGAUUUGUCAAAUCUUUGGCUUACAUUUGCUUCAGGUUGUCAGUCUUGAUAAUACAGAAAACUCAUUCAAAUUUUGAUCUGAAAUCAGGUAGGGCUACCCGCUGAACUUAA
rnacentral:misc_RNA from 1 species